UAUGUGGUUAGUGAUGAAUUUUCUUUCCCCGACUUAUCGACUAUGCUGAUAAAAAAUGUCUUAAAUAAGCCAAAUGAUGUCUGAAACCACAUC